rnacentral:lncRNA from 1 species
UCGGAGUCAACAUGUUCAUCGCACCCGAGUUCGAGUUGGAUUCGAGUAAGAAAGCCUUGGUGAACUUCGGCUGCAUUGCGGAGUCCGUGCGGGAACCGCUUUGAAGUCGAAACCGACUUGGGAGUCGAUUGGGACCGAUUAGUCCGAAGCAAAGUUGAGUCCGACGUGUGGUCGAACUCGAAAUUUUCAACUUUGAAAUCUUGGUUUUUUCUGGCCCGAUCUUCUGCUUUCU